rnacentral:rRNA from 1 species
UACGUAGGGUGCGAGCGUUGUCCGGAAUUAUUGGGCGUAAAGGGCUCGUAGGCGGUUUGUCGCGUCGGGAGUGAAAACCCAGGGCUUAACCCUGGGCCUGCUUCCGAUACGGGCAGACUAGAGGUAUGCAGGGGAGAACGGAAUUCCUGGUGUAGCGGUGAAAUGCGCAGAUAUCAGGAGGAACACCGGUGGCGAAGGCGGUUCUCUGGGCCGAUACUGACGCUGAGGAGCGAAAGCGUGGGGAGCGAACAGG